AAAAGUAUAAAAAAUAGUAAGAAUAAAUAAAGGAAAAAAAAUAUUGAGAGUCCGCUACAAAAUAUGAGUUCAACGGGAUUUGAACCCAAACGUUAAUAGAGACAGGCCAGACGAACUACCACUAAGCCACCAGGGACGAUCUGCAAUUUUUGUGAAAUAAAAGACAAUAGUAAAUUGUUGUGACCUGCUUAUCUCAUGCGGUGUAGGAGACUAUUAUGCGGUGAAUGGCGGUGAACGCGGUGAAAGAAUUCAAUAUGAAAUCAACACAGAAUGAUUAGCUGGAUCUCUUCGGGCCAGGUUCAACAUAGCAAUAUUUUAUACUACUUGGA
rnacentral:lncRNA from 1 species